rnacentral:rRNA from 1 species
UACGGGGGGGGCAAGCGUUGUUCGGAAUUACUGGGCGUAAAGGGCCAGUAGGCGGCCAACUAAGUCCGACGUGAAAUCCCCAGGCUUAACUUGGGAACUGCGUCGGAUACUGGAUGGCUUGAAUUCGGGAGAGGGAUGCAGAAUUCCAGGUGUAGCGGUGAAAUGCGUAGAUAUCUGGAGGAACACCGGUGGCGAAGGCGGGUCUCUGGGCCGUAACUGACGCUGAGGAGCGAAAGCAUGGGGAGCGAACAGG